rnacentral:tmRNA from 1 species
GGGGGCGCCAAGGUUUCGACGGGGAUAGGAAGCGAAGGUUGCAUGCCGGGGAUGCCAGUUGGCCUCGUUAAAAAAUCUGGCAACACAUACAAACGCCGAUACUGACGUUCGUUACGCACUAGCGGCUUAAUUGCCGCUACGUCUCUUCGCUUCAUCGCCCAUGUGGGGUUUAGAGACGUCAUUAAUGUGGGAUAGUUCUCAAGUUCGCCUGCGGCGCGAGAGCGAAAUCUAGCAGGAUCCCCCAAAGAAAAUCCUGUCCGUGGGAGUUUCGAGGGUAAACUAAAAUACGGACUACGCAUGUAGAAGCUUUUCGUAGAUGAUUUUCGGACGCGGGUUCGAUUCCCGCCGCCUCCACCA